GGCAUUGUGGGCUGUGAGAGCCAACGGCCCUCCAUGUAGCUGCCCAAUACCGGGCUGUGCUUCAUGGGCACCUGAGGGUCUCUGGAAGCUGUGAUCAGAGGCGGCUCAGUGAAAACCGAGGUGGGGACCCUGAGGGGGUGACGGCGGCACUCUCUCACACGCCAGAGCCCCUUGGGCCUGGAGGGAUGCCCCACGAAAACAGAAACGGCCUCUGCAUGCUUCCAUUUGUCAGGACAGCGACAUCCUAGCUCAUCCCACUUGGGGCAGGAACACCACUCCAAGGGGCUGAGUGGUGUCGGCCGCUCCUCUGCGCUGGUGGCUGCCGGGAGUGGGAGACUCGAGGUGUAAAAUUCAGAGGAUUUCACCUCCAGCAGAACCUCUGAGCUGUUUGCUUCUGCAUGGACACCACCUUGUCCACCACGGGGAUGCAACAGGCAGAGAAGAAAUGACGCAGCAAGCAACUACCCCGGAAACAACCUCACGACACCUCGUCAGCUUUCAGCACGUCCUCUUUGCGCGGAAGCGUCCAGCUCGGAGGAGUCAGAGGCCAGAACAGAGGAAGGAAAUGGAAUCCUCUCCCUCAGGAGCAGGGCACCCAGUGGUGGAAUCAGCUGGCUUCUCCACAGACGGAACGCAGUGCGUACCACCUCCUCCGCCUACAGGCAGUCAGUGGGACUUCUGUGACUGUGUCGCUGGGAAGUGUUACAACGAGAACUUCCAGUGAGAUGCUUCGAAGCCUCAGAGCAUUCUGGACAUGCCUUGGGGCUGCAGCCCGCGCAGAGGGGCUUGCUCAGCCUCAGAACUGGCUCAGCAUGACAGGAGUGCCCAGGUGCCGCUGCCAGCACCACUACGUGGAUGUAACGGAGUCCAAAAUGAUCCCUAUGAUGGGCACUCUGCUAAUUCAGAACUUACAGGGCCCGACAGGUCCACGCCCAAGCUCACCGAUCCAGUCAGUAACAGGUUUCCUCCAGGAAAAUCUUGGUCAUCAAUAAGAUUCUGGCAGCAGCUAAGGCUUGGAUGAUACGUGGCUUCUGGCUUGAAUGGCUCCCAAGCCCUCAACACACGUGGGAAGGGCAGCCUGGAGUGCAUGAGCCUCAGCCUGCUGACUCAGACCCGGAAUCGGUGGGACCCCAGGGCCCCUGGGUCCCUAGGCCGCAUCCUGGCAGGAGGAAGUACGCAGGUUGGGCCGGCCCCGGUGCAGACGACGGCUCGGAUGGCAGAGCAAGCCCGCAGGCCUGCCUCUGCUGUCCACAGGGAAUGCUGCCGCAGGGUCGAUGCCCCUGCCCCGUGUCGGUUCCAGGUGCCAAGGGCCAGACUGAUAAUGGAGUCGGGAUGUUUUCGAGAGCCUGUCAAACUGACAGGUGACCCUUCUUUCAGAGCCAAGUACCACCUCCCCUGACACUAAAUCAGGCAGCAGCCAGGCUGGCGAGGGGUGACCUGGGCAGCGGGGCCGGGGGAUGGGAGCUGGCCUCUGACCUUGACUGAUCAGGAUGCGGACAGCGUGGAAGGGACCUCCUGCCUGUGUGAGUAAGCAGGGGCAGAGGGCAGGGUUAGCACACAGUGCAGGGAAGCGUGUGCUCUGACCACCAGCCGUGGGACCUGCCUGCCCCUUCGCUGUGCUGCAGACUCUCCAGGGUAGGUGGCCCUGGCAGGGGGCUUCAUGGUCAGCAGCGGGGGGGCUGGUGAACUCUGCCCCUGGGUGGGGGGCAAGGGGAACCAACAGCUGGGUCUGCCGCCACGGGGAAGCACCUUUAAGGAGCAGCGAUGCCUGUGUGCCCAGCAAGGACCAUGACAGAGGCUGCGCAGCUGGCGUGAUGGGGAGUUUUACAUACAGGUGCGUGGGACCUAGAUGGUUGGUAAACCCCAGUUGAGAUGUUGCCACGAAGGGAGUUUUUAGAUGAGGUUAACACCGACAUUAGUGAACUCAGGAUAAAGUAGGCGGCCUUCCACACCAUGGGUGGGCCUCAUCUAAUCAGGUGAAGUCAUGAACAGAAACAGGACCCACCUGCCCCGAAGAAGUGGGAGCUCUGUCUCCAGGUGGCCCUUGGACUCUGGUGGCAGCAUCAACCUUGUUGGGGCAUCCAGCCUGAUGGGCAGCCCUGUGGAUUCCAGCCUCGCUGCCCACACGGCUGCAGGGACCAAGGCCUGACGACAGGCCUGUCCCCUGCCCCCAGCCCUGGAUCUCUGGGGCACCUGUGCUCUGUGGCCUGUAUUCCCAGGACGGGUGGCCGUGCCCUCAGAAGGCGGCAUCAGGGAAAGGGCUUUCCCAAAACCCAGAACAAGUCAUUUGUUCAUGGGAACGUUUCUGUCAUGCGAAGCCAGGCCACUAACUUCCUAAUGUCAAUAGUUAGGACACAUGUCCAGGGAGAUUCUAGAGCUGAGUGUGAGCGCAUGACUUGGUACUUUGGUUCUGAAGAGCAUUUGGAUUUGGGUCCCGGAAGAAUAAACAUUUAGGAUUGGCCUAAAGAAGUUGGGGGAAAUAGAAAGAGCAACCUGCGCGCAGAUCUUGAGCUAUGUGACAAAGCAGGAGGUGAUACAACAUGAGGGAUAGGAGAGACGGCCAGGAGCGGAUCCUGCACUCGAGUGUGGCCUUUCACACUCAUGCGCGAAGAACCCACUCCCCAGUAAGUACAGCUGAGAAGUGAAAAUGAGGUGAACCCCCUACCACAUAAAACAGUCGGAUCAAAAUCUAGAUGUAAAGGGCUCCUUGGGGGCUCAGAGGGUCUGCCUUUGGCCCAGGGCAUGGUCCUGGAGUCCGGGGAUCGAGUCUCGCAUCGGUCUCCAUGUGGGGAGCCUGUUUCUCCCUCUGCCUGUGUCUCUGCCCCUCUCUCUGUGUCUCUCAUGAAUAAAUAAGUUAAAAAAAAUCUAACUGUAAAAAAUAGCUAUGAAAUGCUUGGGAGGAAAUAUAAAAUACUUGCUUAUGUUGGGCUCAAUUAUCACAAUACCCAAGCUAUUUGGAAAAAUCCAGGAGUCUUAAACAGUGAAUACAGCUGCCGUACGAAUGAUUCCUACAAAUCGGUGGGGGUAAAAAAUAAAAGAAAAAUUGUGCAGAGUACAAUCAGGUAAAUCACAGAAGACGACACACAAA